UCAGGAUGAACGCUAGCGGCAGGCCUAACACAUGCAAGUCGAGGGGCAUCGGGGAAAAGCUUGCUUUUCCGCCGGCGACCGGCGCACGGGUGCGGAACGCGUAUGGAACCUGCCCCUGUCAGGGGAAUAGCCCAGGGAAACUUGGAUUAAUGCCCCAUGGUACCGCGAUAUCGCAUGAUAUUGCGGUUAAAGAUUUAUCGGACAGGGAUGGCCAUGCGUACCAUUAGUUAGUUGGUGGGGUAACGGCCCACCAAGGCAGCGAUGGUUAGGGGCCCUGAGAGGGGGAUCCCCCACACUGGUACUGAGACACGGACCAGACUCCUACGGGAGGCAGCAGUGAGGAAUAUUGGACAAUGGGCGGGAGCCUGAUCCAGCCAUGCCGCGUGCAGGAUGACGGCCCUAUGGGUUGUAAACUGCUUUUAUACGGGAAGAAAUGCGCCCACGUGUGGGCGUCUGACGGUACCGUAAGAAUAAGGACCGGCUAACUCCGUGCCAGCAGCCGCGGUAAUACGGAGGGUCCGAGCGUUAUCCGGAAUCAUUGGGUUUAAAGGGUCCGUAGGCGGGCCUGUAAGUCAGGGGUGAAAGUUUGUGGCUCAACCAUAAAAUUGCCUUUGAUACUGCAGGUCUUGAGUCAUGGUGGGGUCGCCGGAACAUGUGGUGUAGCGGUGAAAUGCAUAGAUAUCACAUAGAACACCGAUCGCGAAGGCAGGUGGCCAACCAUGUACUGACGCUGAUGGACGAAAGCGUGGGUAGCGAACGGGAUUAGAUACCCCGGUAGUCCACGCCGUAAACGAUGGAUACUAGCUGUGGGGACUUCGGUCUCCGUGGCCAAGCGAAAG
rnacentral:rRNA from 1 species